AUGGCACACAGGCCAGAGAUCAUCAACCAGAAAAGACCAUCACCUUCUUGUGGGUUCUGCAUCAGAUAUGUACCCUCAUCGUUGUGGGCAAGGGUGCUCAAGGCAAGAUAUUUCAAAAACGAAAGCAUCAUGACCGCUACAUGUCCGGCGGGAGCAUCAUAUACUUUCAGGAGCAUAUUGUAUGGGCGUGACCUGCUGCGAGAGGGCACAAUAUGGUGCAUAUGUGAUGGCCAGAAGGUCCACAUCCAUCAUGCUAAAUUGAUACCCAAGCAAGGGAGUAUGAGGCCGUUGGGACAGGAGUAUGUGCAUGGAAUAACACAGGUGUGUGACCUGCUAACGCCAUGUGGU
rnacentral:rRNA from 1 species